GGCCUGGAUAGCUCAGUGGUUAGAGCACCUGAUUGGUAAUGCAGGGAUCCUGGGGUCGAUUCCCAGUCCAGCCA